GGCUGCACGUUGGUGCAGUUGGUAGCACUGUUGCCUUGCAGCGAGAAUGUCUUGGGUUAGACUCCCGGCACUGGGCCU